GACGAACGCAGGCGGCGUGCCUAAUACAUGCAAGUCGAGCGGACGAAUCGAAAGCUUGCUUUUGAUUCGUUAGCGGCGGACGGGUGAGUAACACGUGGGCAACCUGCCCUGUAGACGGGGAUAACACCGAGAAAUCGGUGCUAAUACCGGAUAACACGAAAUGUCGCAUGACGUUUCGUUGAAAGACGGCGCAAGCUGUCGCUACAGGAUGGGCCCGCGGCGCAUUAGCUAGUUGGUGAGGUAACGGCUCACCAAGGCGACGAUGCGUAGCCGACCUGAGAGGGUGAUCGGCCACACUGGGACUGAGACACGGCCCAGACUCCUACGGGAGGCAGCAGUAGGGAAUCUUCCGCAAUGGACGAAAGUCUGACGGAGCAACGCCGCGUGAGCGAAGAAGGCCUUCGGGUCGUAAAGCUCUGUUGUUAGGGAAGAACAAGUAACGCAGUAACUGGCGUUACCGUGACGGUACCUAACGAGAAAGCCACGGCUAACUACGUG
rnacentral:rRNA from 1 species